AGCAGCCGCGGUAAUUCCAGCUCCAAUAGCGUAUAUUAAAGUUGUUGCAGUUAAAAAGCUCGUAGUUGAAUUUCGGGAUCAAGGAAUCGGUCAUGCCUUGGUAUGUACUGGUUUUAUUGGUUCUCACCUUCUAAAGAACCAUAAUGUCAUUUAUUUGAUGUUAUGGGGAAUUAGGACUGUUACCUUGAAAAAAUUAGAGUGUUUAAAGCAAGCUUACGCUUGAAUACAUUAGCAUGGAAUAAUGAAAUAGGACAUCAGAUUCUAUUUUGUUGGUUUCUAGGAUCGAUGUAAUGAUUAAUAGGGAUAGUUGGGGGCAUUAGUAUUCAAUUGUCAGAGGUGAAAUUCUUGGAUUUAUUGAAGACUAACUACUGCGAAAGCAUUUGCCAAGGAUGUUUUCAUUAAUCAAGAACGAAAGUUAGGGGAUCGAAGACGAUCAGAUACCGUCGUAGUCUUAACCAUAAACUAUGCCGACUAGGGAUCGGAUGAUGUUAAUUUUUAAUGACUCAUUCGG
rnacentral:rRNA from 1 species